CCGUGGUGAUGAGCAGAUGUAGGGGGUGGAGCAGAACCGUGGUGAUUGAUAAGCAGAUGGAGGAGGUGGAGCAGAACCGUGGUGAUGAGCAGAUGUAGGGGGUGGAGCAGAACCGUGGUGAUUGAUAAGCAGAUGUAGGAGGUGGAGCAGAACCGCGGUGAUGAGCAGAUGUAGGAGGUGGACCAGAACCGUGGUGAUGAGCAGAUGGAGGAGGUGGAGCAGAACCGUGGUGAUUGAUAAGUAGAUGGAGGAGGUGGAGCAGAACCGUGGUGAUUGAUAAGCAGAUGGAGGAGGUGGAGCAGAACCGUGGUGAUGAGCAGAUGGAGGAGGUGGAGCAGAACCGUGGUGAUUGAUAAGCAGAUGUAGGAGGUGGAGCAGAACCGUGGUGAUGAGCAGAUGGAGGAGGUGGAGCAGAACCGUGGUGAUGAGCAGAUGUAGGAGGUGGAGCAGAACCGUGGUGAUGAGCAGAUGUAGGAGGUGGAGCAGAACCGUGGUGAUUGAUAAGCAGAUGGGGGAGGUGGAGCAGAACCGUGGUGAUGAGCAGAUGUAGGAGGUGGAGCAGAACCGUGGUGAUGAGCAGAUGUAGGGGGUGGAGCAGAACCGUGAUUGAUAAGCAGAUGUAGGAGGUGGAGCAGAACCGUGGUGAUUGAUAAGCAGAUGGGGGAGGUGGAGCAGAACCGUGGUGAUGAGCAGAUGGAGGAGGUGGAGCAGAACCGUGGUGAUUGAUAAGCAGAUGUAGGGGGUGGAGCAGAACCGUGGUGAUGAGCAGAUGUAGGAGGUGGAGCAGAACCGUGGUGAUUGAUGAGCAGAUGUAGGAGGUGGAGCAGAACCGUGGUGAUGAGCAGAUGGAGGAGGUGGAGCAGAACCGUGAUUGAUAAGCAGAUGGAGGAGGUGGAGCAGAACCGUGGUGAUUGAUAAGUAGAUGUAGGAGGUGGGGCAGAACCGUGGUGAUGAGCAGAUGUAGGGGGUGGAGCAGAACCGUGAUUGAUAAGCAGAUGGAGGAGGUGGAGCAGAACCGUGGUGAUUGAUAAGUAGAUGUAGGAGGUGGGGCAGAACCGUGGUGAUGAGCAGAUGGAGGAGGUGGAGCAGAACCGUGGUGAUGAGCAGAUGGAGGAGGUGGAGCAGAACCGUGGUGAUUGAUAAGUAGAUGUAGGAGGUGGGGCAGAACCGUGGUGAUGAGCAGAUGUAGGGGGUGGAGCAGAACCGUGAUUGAUAAGCAGAUGGAGGAGGUGGAGCAGAACCGUGGUGAUUGAUAAGUAGAUGUAGGAGGUGGGGCAGAACCGUGGUGAUGAGCAGAUGGAGGAGGUGGAGCAGAACCGUGGUGAUUGAUAAGCAGAUGUAGGAGGUGGAGCAGAACCGUGGUGAUGAGCAGAUGGAGGAGGUGGAGCAGAACCAUGAUGAUGAGCAGAUGGAGGAGGUGGAGCAGAACCGCGGUGAUGAGCAGAUGGAGGAGGUGGAGCAGAACCAUGGUGAUUGAUAAGCAGAUGUAGGAGGUGGGGCAGAACCGUGGUGAUUGAUAAGCAGAUGGAGGAGGUGGAGCAGAACCGUGGUGAUGAGCAGAUGUAGGGGGUGGAGCAGAACCGUGGUGAUUGAUAAGGAGAUGUAGGAGGUGUUGCUGUUGCUGGAGCUGUGGCAGGAAGUGGUUGAUCACAUUCUUAUUCUCCGGUUGGGUAAUGAGCUCAAGGUUGAAUUGUGAAUGGGUAAAUGAAUGGGUGGAUGGAAAUAGUUAUGGUUCACCUAAUUUUAUGCCCCUAAGGUCCUUGCAAAAGAAAAUGGAGGGAGGAGAGAGAGGAGAAAGGGGAAGAAGUCGCAUUCAAAUUCACUCUCGCCAGUCUCUAAAAUGGCAGAUUCGUUUUGAAACAACUCCACAUUAAGCCUACAGAGGGAAGGCAUGGCUGAUUCUGCUGAGCACCUAUUACAGCUUCAGCAGCAUACCACGUUUCGGUCCACAACAGCUGUGUAAGAUUGUGACGGAGCUGGAAAAUUCCUGUUGCCUAGUGAGGUCAUGUCCUAGCGCAGAACGCAGAAUCACGAAGAGUGACGAAUGCCCGCCGUCAGAUACUGGCCGGACUGCCUGUCAUGCAGCAACGCACAAUGGAAGCACACCCUUCUCCUGUUCCCAGUGGUCAGAGCCACCCAAGUGGGGCUGUGGGCACCCAGCACUUCUACUUCAGGAUGGAGACCCCCUGCUGCCUGGCUCCCUCCCCAGGCCCGCCAGGCUAGUCCCCUCCCCUGUCCCUCUCUCAGGCCUGCUCUCAUAGCCACGCGGGCCUUUCUGCUGCACACGCCAGCUCAGUUCGGGGCUCAGUAACCCCCUCCCAAUUCAGGGGCAUGACUCCUUCCAGAUUCUCCUUAAAUAUCACCUCCUCCAAAAAGCCUUCCCCAAUCACCUCGCCUAAAGUAGGGCCUCCUCAUUUUUCUACCUAAAUCUAUGGGGAGUUGUUUGCUUAGUUGCAAGUAUCAUGAUCUUGCUUUGUGUUGCCUUUUUACAUAUUUAUUGCCUUUUUAUUUCAUUAGCAUAUGUGCUCCAAUACGGUGGAGACUGUGGUUUAUCUUGUUCAUGCCUGGACUUCCAGCAGCAUUCAGAAGAGGACUUCUUUCUUUCUUUCCUUCUUUUGAGAUGGAGUUUGGCUUUUGUUGCCCAGGCUGGAGUGCAGUGGUGCGACCUCGGCUCGCCGCAACCUCCGCCUCUUGGGUUCAAGCAUUUCUCCUACUUCAGCCUCCAGAGUAGCUGGGAUUACAGGCGCACACCACCAUGCCUGGCUGAUUUUGUAUUUUUAGUAGAGAUGGGGUUUCUCCAUGUUGGUCAGGCUGGUCUCGAACUCCCGUCCUCAAGUGAUCCGCCCGCCUGGGCCUCCCAAAGUGCAGAAGAGAAUUUGGGGAAGCCUCGUGAGUGAGUGACAGCCCGCGCCCCCGGCGAGGAGGCGGCAAUACCACACGUGACCACCAGAUGCCGCCGCAGUCAAGGGCAGUUGGUCUCCCCUCGCCGGGAUUCGCACCGGACCGAGGGCUCCAGAACCGAAUCGUCCCCCACAGUCUGUCCUGCGAGGCGGCUUUCCCCAUUACCACCCUCGUUUCGCCAAGGAGAAAACGAGCUCAGAGAGGCAGUGCAUUGGCCCGGGAUCGCACCGGGCGCGAACCCAGGGCCAGUCCUGGCUACCCCAAGGGGAAAGUCGCAGCUUGGUGCUAAUGAAAGUUCAACUGUCCCCAGCAUUGUCAAUGGUUUUUAACAGAGACAGAGCAGGCCCAAGCCUGGGGCAGAGCAUAGAAGCUGGGAAAGCACCAGGAUGUUUAAUGCCUGCAGUCCAAAAUUGGUUGGUAGAAGUACCUACUGUCAGUCCUAACAGUAGAUUCACUUAUCACAUGUCUGCAGGUGUACCCAACAGCUCUGAAGAGACAGCGACCAUCGAGAACGGGCAUGACGAUGGUGGUUUUGUCGAAGAGAAAAGGGGGAAAUGUGGGGAAAAGCAAGAGAGAUCAGAUUGUUCCUGUGUCUGUGUAGAAAGAAGUAGACAUAGGAGACUCCAUUUUGUUCUGUACUAAGAAAAAUUCUUCUGCCUUGGGAUGCUGUUGAUCUAUGACCUUACCCCCAACCCCGUGCUCUCUGAAACAUGUGCUGUGUCCACUAAGGGUUAAAUGGAUUAAGGGCUGUACAGGGUGUGCUUUGUUAAACAGAUGCUUGAAGGCAGCACGCUCCUUAAGAGUCAUCACCACUCCCUAAUCUCAAGUACCCAGGGACAUAAACACUGCGGAAGGCCGGAAGGCCGCAGGGACCUCUGCCUACGAAAGCCAGGUAUUGUCCAAGGUUUCUCCCCAUGUGAGAGUCUGAAAUAUGGCCUCGUGGGAAGGGAAAGACCUGACCAUCCCCCAGCCUGACACCCGUAAAGGGUCUGUGCUGAGGAGGAUUAGUAUAAGAGGAAGGCAUGCCUCUUGCAGUUGAGACAAGAGGAAGGCAUCUGUCUCCUGCCCGUCCCCGGGCAAUGGAAUGUCUCGGUAUAAAACCCGAUUGUACGUUCUAUCUACUGAGAUAGGGAAAAACCGCCUUAGGGCUGGAGGUGGGACAUGCGGGCAGCAAUACUGCUGUGUAAAGCAUUGAGAUGUUUAUGUGUAUGCAUAUCUAAAAGCACAGCACUUAAUCCUUUACAUUGUCUAUGAGGCAAAGACCUUUGUUCACGUGUUUGUCUGCUGACCCUCUCCCCACUAUUGUCUUGUGACCCUGACACAUCCCCCUCUCGGAGAAACACCCACAAAUGAUCAAUAAAUACUAAAGGAACUCAGAGGCUGGCGGGACCCUCCAUAUGCUGAACGCUGGUUCCCUGGGUCCCCUUAUUUCUUUCUCCAUA